rnacentral:rRNA from 1 species
AGUGAACGCUGGCGGUAGGCCUAACACAUGCAAGUCGAACGGCAGCACAGUAAUAGCUUGCUCUUACGGGUGGCGAGUGGCGGACGGGUGAGGAAUACAUCGGAAUCUACUUUUUCGUGGGGGCUAACGUAGGGAAACUUACGCUAAUACCGCAUACGACCUACGGGUGAAAGCAGGGGAUCUUCGGACCUUGCGCGAUUGCAUGAGCCUAUUUCGGAUUAGCUAGUUGGCGGGGUAAAGGCCCACCAAGGCGACGAUCCGUAGCUGGUCUGAGAGGAUGAUCAGCCACACAGGAGCUGAGACACGGUCCAGACUCCUACGGGAGGCAGAAGUGGGGAAUAUUGGAAAAUGGGCGCAAGCCUGAUCCAGCCAUACCGCGUGGGUGAAGAAGGCCUGCGGGUUGCAAAGCCCUUUUGUUGGGAAAGAAAAGCAGCAGGUUAAUACCCCGCUGUUCUGACGGUACCCAAAGAAUAAGCACCGGCUAACUUCGUG